AUAACAAAGAUGCACAAAGGUUGGUAGCAUGGAAUCGCACAUGUGGAUUCUCAAUUCCACAGGCGCUAAUAAUAUCAAAUGCUAAGAGAGUUCAACUAAAACAAUUUGUGUCCAUGCCCAAUGUAAGAUUUUUUCAUAUUUGAAAAAUGGUUAAUAUUUUCUUCCCAUUAUAUAGAAAUUCAGUUGGAAUUUGUGAAUUUGUUUCCAUAGGUGCAACAUUAUCGCAUAUUAGGCCGCAUUGAGAAAAUAUACAAAGAACACAUAUGGAUUUAUAAAUGCAAGACGUGCUUUAGGGAAGUUGAAAAUCAAUACGGUUGGUUUGUCUGUAGUCAAUGCGGAGAAGAUGUGGAAACAGCAGCCAGGUAUAAUGUAAAGAUGGUUGUGAAAGACUCCACUGGCUCAAUGGAGCUCUUGGUGAAGGACACAAAGGCAGAAUUUAUCUUGCGAUGUGUACCAUCCGAUUUGAAGAAGUUAAUGUUAAAGCUUAUGUACCAUGAACAUUGUGCCUCUGUGGUAACCUUCGUGUUAAAAGUUGAUUGGUCAGAAGAAUGUUUGCACAUUUCCAAAGAAAUGUCGAGGACUGGCAAAGAACCAAUG